ensembl:lncRNA
UUACAAAUUAAAAAUGAGGUUCUUAAAAAUCUCAGCUUGACCGGAUAUGAAACAAUUAAAAAAAGCUGUAAGGGUGUAUUUGGAAAAAGCAGGCUUAAAAAAAGAUCAAACACGUUUGUCAUUACUAAAAAGAUAUCUUUAGGUAAAAAUAAUAAAAACCCCACGCUGCAUAGAUAAUGCAGAAAGUUCUAGUUGCCUGGUCAACGGGCAAAAAGCAAGCACUUAUGGUCUUCAGCUCCAAUCUUUUGUUCGUUUCUUAUUGCUGAAAUUUCAUGUUCAUUUCUUCUUCUUGGAUGACUAAACCGGAUGGUGGUAGAGAUGGUAAACCAGCAUUUACUCAGCCUUGCCCUGCUCAGCCUUGGGAGUGGAUGAUUCUUAGCUGCUGGAUCGGCUGCUUUGGUCUCCUAUGGUUUAGGCUUGUCUGAGCACCUGCGUUGGUAGUUGAAGUUGCUGUGGUACCGCCUUGGGUCUCCUGUCCUCGAUUUUCCUCGUCUUCCUCAUUGUGGUCCUCUCUUGGCUGUCUUUGGUGAGGAGGGCCCCUGCAGAAUCCUGGUCUCUAACCCCGAUGCAUAUUCUGUCCCACUGGUCUACCCUGUUCUCCCACACCCUGGUUGUCAGUGCCCUGAGUCACUUCUUCCCGCACAGGAGGGACGGAACACUGUGGUGACACCCUCAGAGUUUCUGCAGGUAGUUAAGAUGGGACCUGGCCUUUGGGAGCAUUCUCUUAUCCCUCAUUCUUACCCACUUCACUCACUAUUCUGGUAAUCCUGCUGGCAAUUGCGUGGAGGACCCCUGCGAGGAAGAUUAGCCUGAGCUAACUACUACCAAUCCUCCUCUUUUUGCUGAGGAAGACUGGCCCUGAGCUAACAUCCGUGCCCAUCUUCCUUACUUUAUAUGUGGGAUGCCUACCACAGCGUGGCAUGCUAAGCGGUGCCAUGUCUGCGCCCAGGAUCCGAACUGGCGAACCGCGGGCCGCUGAGAAGCAGAACGUGCGAAUUUAACCACUGCGCCACUGGGCUGGCCCCGUGAAUAUGUGAAAUAGAGAAACAGAGGAAGAGAGAAGAGGCAGAAGGCACGGUUGCUAGGAAGAUGAAGAUGAUAUCGCUCUCCAAAGAGGGGAGGGCCUCAGCAGUUCUUGUAUGUGGACUAUGUGUGCGGUACCAUGAAGAUAUCUUUAGACAUUAUCUCAUUGAACUGCCUCAGUGUUCCUCCGCUGUAAGUAACUGCUCAGUUACUUAAUAUAGGAAGAUCCUGAGGGUCAGCAAAAUUAGUGCACAUUGCAUAAGGUUGCAGAUAGAGUAGGUGGCAGAACUUGACUUGAACCCAAAUCUUCCUGACUCCAAGCCCAUGAUCUUUUCUCUGAACCAGGUUGCAAAACGGGUUGUAAACAUGAGAGAUCUUACUACUGCCCUCUGUUCUUGGGCUUUUGGAGACACAUCCUUCAAAGGACACAUCCUCCAAGGAAAGCUGACCUUUUCUUAGCAGACCUGAAAGGACUACACUGUGGCCCACGGGAAGUUCUUUACACUUCUCAAAAUUCAUAACGAGAACAAGAAGUUUGCCUGGAGUCCAUUUAGUGAUUUAUUUCAGGAUGUCUGGCAUGGGCAGCUCAUGGGACGCAUAUCAAGCAGGAAGUGAGGCCCUUGGACUGAAUAAACAGCUGAAGACAGAAGUGGUGGCUGAGCUUCAGACAGGGCAGAGGUGACCUGGCAUCAAACCAGCCGGCACAACUCCUUUCCUUCCUGUUCAUUUGGAUGAUUAUUAAAC